rnacentral:rRNA from 1 species
ACUCCUACGGGAGGCAGCAGCAGGGAAUUUUGCGCAAUGGGCUAACGCCUGACGCAGCGACGCCGCGUGGGGGAAGAAGGCCUUCGGGUUGUAAAUCCCUUUUCUGGGGGAAGAGUAAGGACGGUACCCCAGGAAUAAGCCCCGGCUAACUCC